rnacentral:misc_RNA from 1 species
ACCCGCUUGGAGAUUGAUUUCCCGUAGCUUCCGUUUCCUUGUACUUUUUAAUUUUUGGCUUCCAUUAUUGGCUUCUCCCGUCUUUAAGAUAUACCCUUUAUUUUACGUUAUGUUAUGUUAUCUUAGCUUCCAAUUUGUUAAUAGCAAUACCCAUCUCUUAAUUUUCACUCUACAAGGAUGGCUGGGGUGAAAUAGUAUUUAAACUUGCUGUUCACUAGCUUUGAGAACGGAAAUGUGUUUGGCUGAAAUUUGAUUUUGGGCAUGGGUUUGCAAAGUCGGUCAUCUGUACCUGUUAUGACUUUCCUCUAAAUUUUGGAUGGUUAUUAGCCUUUGCGCAGUCAUACCCUUCAGGGUUGUUAUGAGUAUUAACAUGAAAAUGAUUGGGUCUCUCUUCCUUGUGAUGCUUAAAUUGGCAAAAUGAGGAAAAAUAUUAUGUGAGUCUAGUUUUUAAUGGAAUGACAAAGAGAACUAUUGUACCUCAUGCUUGAUAAUUUUUAAUGUUAAUUUUGCCAUGUCAAAGUAUUUGUUUUAUAAUAUAUUAAAGUGUAGCCCAUGCUCUUGCAAACUUUUUUUCUUCCUCAGAUACCUCUUUUUCAUGGAUAGUGGUUGGUUCCCUUUGAGAUGGAUGGUCCUGUCUCCCGUGAUAUUUUCAUGCCAUUUUGGCUGGUUAAUGGAAAAAACAUCUUUCUGUA